rnacentral:rRNA from 1 species
AAAGAAACCAACAGGGAUUGCCCUAGUAACGGCGAGUGAAGCGGCAACAGCUCAAAUUUGAAAUCUGGCCCUCGUGGUCCGAGUUGUAAUUUGUAGAGGAUGCUUUUGGUUAGGUGCCUUCCGAGUUCCCUGGAACGGGACGCCAUAGAGGGUGAGAGCCCCGUCUGGUUGGAUACCGAGCCUCUGUAAAGCUCCUUCGACGAGUCGAGUAGUUUGGGAAUGCUGCUCUAAAUGGGAGGUAUAUGUCUUCUAAAGCUAAAUAUUGGCCAGAGACCGAUAGCGCACAAGUAGAGUGAUCGAAAGAUGAAAAGCACUUUGAAAAGAGGGUUAAAAAGUACGUGAAAUUGUUGAAAGGGAAGCGCUUGUGACCAGACUUGGGCCCGGUCAAUCAUCCAGGGUUCUCCCUGGUGCACUUGGCCGGCCCAGGCCAGCAUCAGUUUGUCGCGGGGGAUAAAGACGUUGGGAAUGUGGCUCCCCCGGGAGUGUUAUAGCCCUUCGUGCAAUACCCUGCUUCGGACUGAGGUUCGCGCAUCUGCAAGGAUGCUGGCGUAAUGGUCAUCAGCGACCCGUCUUGAAACACGGACCAAGGAGUCGUCUUCGUAUGCGAGUGUUCGGGUGUCAAACCCCUACGCGUAAUGAAAGUGAACGCAGGUGAGAGCUUCGGCGCAUCAUCGACCGAUCCUGAUGUUCUCGGAUGGAUUUGAGUAAGAGCAUACGGGGCCGGACCCGAAAGAAGGUGAACUAUGCCUGUAUAGGGUGAAGCCAGAGGAAACUCUGGUGGAGGCUCGCAGCGGUUCUGACGUGCAAAUCGAUCGUCAAAUAUGGGCAUGGGGGCGAAAGACUAAUCGAACCUUCUAGUAGCUGGUUUCCGCCGAAGUUUCCCUCAGGAUAGCAGUGUUGAACUCAGUUUUAUGAGGUAAAGCGAAUGAUUAGGGACUCGGGGGCGCUAUUUAGCCUUCAUCCAUUCUCAAACUUUAAAUAUGUAAGAAGCCCUUGUUGCUUAGUUGAACGUGGGCAUUCGAAUGUAUCAAC